GUAGGUGGCAAGCGUUGUCCGGAAUUAUUGGGCGUAAAGCGCGCGCAGGCGGUUCUUUAAGUCUGAUGUGAAAGCCCACGGCUCAACCGUGGAGGGUCAUUGGAAACUGGAGAACUUGAGUACAGAAGAGGAAAGCGGAAUUCCACGUGUAGCGGUGAAAUGCGUAGAGAUGUGGAGGAACACCAGUGGCGAAGGCGGCUUUCUGGUCUGUAACUGACGCUGAGGCGCGAAAGCGUGGGGAGCAAACAGGGAUUAGAUACCCUGGUAGUCCACGCCGUAAACGAUGAGUGCUAAGUGUUAGGGGGUUUCCGCCCCCUUAGUGCUGCAGCUAACGCAUUAAUCACUCCGCCUGGGGAGUACGGCCGCAAGGCUG
rnacentral:rRNA from 1 species